CCUUUACUGGAUUUUUUUUUUUUUUUUUAGCGAUAAUGGACAUGUUGACUGAGGACACAAAACACGAUACACUAAUUAAUGCACCAUUACUGGGUCCAAGGGUGGGUAAGAGGGUGUGACUACAUUUGAGUGAGGAAGAAUACAAUUUAAAUAUACAGUUAUUGUGUGUGUGUGUGAGAAAGAGAGAGAGAGAGAGAGAGAGAGAGAGAGAGAGAGAGAGAGAGAGAGAGAGAGAGAGAGAGUCUAUUGAACAACUGUUGGUACUGCAAUCUCCCCUCAUUCACCCUCUCUCUCUCUCUUUAUAGAUCUCCUGUCUGCUUUCUCUUUCCCUCAUAUGUCCCCGCAUCGUGUCUUAUCAGUCUUUCUCCUCCUCUUUUGCAUCCAUCCUCCCGCCCUUGUCCAUCUCUACCUCCGCAUCCCUUUCUCUCCGCUCCAUCACUCUCUUAUGCCUCAUCACACCGCAUGCUCUCCAUUUCUCUCUCUCUCUCUCUCUCUCUCUCGUUCCCCCUCUGAACACGUCUGCCCUCCGCUCUCCCGUCGGCCCCGCCGGCUCCUCACUUCAUUUGCCGCGGUGAGAAACGACAAGCUUCCUUUCCUUGAAUGGACCCGAGAAGGGAAGCUGGAAGAGUGGUCGGAGAAGUGCAGCGGGAGGAGGCGGAAGAGGAGAGCUUUUGUUUGCCAUCCCUCCUCGGCAGCAUCAGUACCAAUUCGUCCAGCGCCGCAUCCUACUGUUUCCUACUGGGAUCAACCUCCUCCUUCUUUUCAGGGAGCUCUUCCUACAACUGGGAGGGGGAGGGAGAUCACCACCUCCCAGUUUGCCACGGACCCUCAGGAAGGCAUCAGGCUGAAAGAGCGCAAGAAGGGGAGGGAAUUUUAGAGGUGCGCCAGGAGAGGCAACACCCUGGGCUUCAGAAAAAGGAAGAAAAGCGGCCCCAGUUCUCAUUAUGACAGGGCCGAGCUACAGUGGAAACGACAGUGGCCAAGAACCCCAAAAGUCACCAAUGGAAGCUGAUUUGGUUGUAGUUGAGAGGAGCCAUUGAUGGAACUUUGCCUCACACUGCAGUGAGGUGUCUUCAAUCAAUGCAACCGCCACCUUUUCGCAAUCUGUUUAUGUGUCUGUUUGCCACUGGAGCAUGAAGAAGGUUCUGCCGAUGGCAACAGUGAUGGCCAUGGUGGUGGGGAGGAUGAUGCAAUGGCAGUGGAACUGCUCACAUGGUUUCUGGUUAGCCUCCUGUGUAUGUUGAAAGACUCUCUUCGGUGACGGGUAUUCUUGGGUGGAUAAUACGGAUCACGUUGUUAUUGCUUAAGAAUACGCGUAGUCGAGGAGAGUCCUCUCUUCGCCCAACACCCGACACCCACCCACCCACUUCACCUCACCGCACCUCACCCCAACACCCUACCCAUCCAGGGGGAGGACAAUUAGUUUGGGUGGCUGUUCCUUGAACUUGAAAUCAUUGCAAUUUUUUGCUUUCCCUGCCUUCAUGCAUCUGUCUUUUUGGUGGUGGGCAGAAUUGUGUCCGUUUUCCUUUCUGUGUGUUUGUCUGCUGUGUUGCUUGGUAGGUUGUUUGCUGAAAGAGAUAGCUUGACUUGAGCACAGGGUCAGUAUGUACUGCAGUAAGGAAAAGGGCUGAUUUUAUUUAAUAUGACAUCAAUAUGGCAUUUGAGUCAGCCUUUGUUUUCCUGAGAUGACCAACCUAGUAGAACACCCAACUUUCCAACCGGUUCCAUCGAUCGGUGCUGUACUGUGAAAAUACAUAUCUUAUAAAUUUCAUACAAGAAAAAGAAGAAUGUCGAUAACAACCCCACCCAAUUUAAAUGAUAAAAGAAAAAAAAAAUCACCGGCUCGGUUCCAAAAUCGUGGGCUUCGGCUUAGAAGUAGUUCGGCCUCACAGUGCAGAGGUGCAGGGUUCGAUUCCGGCUGGCUAUGGCCUUCCUAUGUGGAGUU